UAACAUAUUAAAACAUUUGCUAAUUACUGGACGUAUGUGCUUGGAAUAAACGCACUUUUUAGUACUAAAUGAGCGAAAAGACGAGAGAGGGCAGCACGUGUCUAGUAGUUACGAUGUCUUCAGUCGAUCCCCAAUGUUCAAAUAUGUAUUUUUAAAGAGCUGAGCCUUGUGGAGCUUUACUUUCAAAGGUAUGCAUACGUAUAUAUUUAUACAUGCAUUUAUGCCAGAGAAUCUGAACACGGAUGCGUGCGAGUAAGCAAAGAAGCAAGGGAGUGCACGAAUGAGCAAUCCACCGCUUCGAAUCACUUGCGCAACAGCUUGUGCUCAUGUAGACGGUAAGAGCGGAUGAACUUUUCCGUAUUGGGAAUGCUUAUGAAAUAAUCUACGAGGAUCGGCCGCUUAAAGGUUCGCUCUGGCGUCUUUCACCAGCUUGUAGGACUCGGGGGAAGAAAAAGAGAAAGGAUGAAAGGAUUUUCAUUUCGAGAGGACGAACAACUCAGUCAGUCGGAAUCGGGAUGGUUGCGGAAUAGGUUAUGUGCGUCGUGCCAAGCUAAGCCAAUCAAGUUGCGCAAAAGAUAUCGUACAAGUGGAUAAGAGGAAGAAGACGGUACCGACAGCUAUCGGGGACGAAGAGGAUCGCCAGAAGAAAUUCUCUGGCGUAACGUCGACCUCCCGUUCUCUACUCCCUCCCGUUCCAGACCAUUUUCCUCAUACUCUGGAUAUACUGUGUAUAUGUCCACCGAUCCACGGCUCCAUCGCGAUGCGCUCAUGUGGCUGUCGCCUUCGCUGUUGCGACGGCCAUGCCGCCACGAGGGAACGAGACGAGGCCGCUAGAAAAGAAAGGAGAGACCGGGAUAGGAUGAGAAAGGCAAGCGGAGCGCUGCGGUCUGCAUCCGUGUUACGUUCCCUUCUAUAGUAGCGCAUCUUCUGCCCUGACUCCACGAAGAAAUAGGAGAAGAGGAAAAAAGGAGAGCGUGGCUUGGGAAGGAUCGUUUUUCGUUUCUCUUCGACAAAGUCGACCACCGUGUACAAUCCUCCUUUUUUCGUGAGAAACUUUUCGUCCGCGGGCAAGCCGAGUGACGACGGUCGCGCGCGCGUAACCGGUAUAUUGACGUAGGUGCUCAAUCUCGACACGUUUCGUUCUCGUGCCUCUUUUUUUUUUUUUUUUUUAUUUAUUUCCAGUCGUUCCCUCUUCUUCGUUCUCCGCCUGUUCGUUCACGACUUCUUUUCCUGGUUCGUUUUUUUUCUUUUUCCUCUACGUCCUCCUUUCUUCUUCGUCGUCUCACCAUCUCUGGCUAGCAGGACGAGCAGGUAGCCCGUCUUUUGCGGUCCUGAUUUCCUCAACUUCUCUCCGACCCGGGGCGAAUACCUUCGAAGAAGCACGUAUCUUACCCUCGCAUGGUCAUUGUUCGGACGGAAAGCCGUCAUUGUGCGACCAAAUCAAAGGGAAUUCGAGUGCGUUUUCCUUGCAUCCCGUUACAUGACCGAGUGAGCUCCUCGAGACGAAGACUCGGUCAAUACGACUCGUAUACGCAAGGAGGAGAGCCGGCGAGAACAAGGCGAGGGGCGAAAAGGCAAAGAGGAACCUCGAAAAGAAUCUGUGCAGGUCGUGGGAGGAGUCGUGGGAAAAUCGUUGCCAGUAAGACGUUUUCGAAGCUGCUUAGCUUGGCUUACCGUUUGACACGUAACGAUAUUUUCCUCGAAAGUUCCUCAUUUCCAUUUUUCUAUGUUCUUUGUCAUUACCGUUAUGCGGCGAGGAACGUUGGUUUUUUGCUAGCCCGUUAGAAGGAAAGCUGUUGAAAUUGAUCGAAAAGGGAGGAAAUUACAUUAGCGAUUAGUGUGAACGAUUGGCUGGGAGAGGAUUCUGUAAUACAAAAAUAAAUCGAGGGGGAAUGAAUAAUCUUCGUUUUCGAGAAAAUCGAGUUGUAAAUUUUUGUCAAGCAUACUUGAAUUUGAUUAAUUUCGUUACUUUCGUACUUCUGUAUUCCACGAACAAAAAUGAAUAAAAUUUGUUUGUUUAA